rnacentral:rRNA from 1 species
UACGUAGGGGGCAAGCGUUGUCCGGAUUUAUUGGGCGUAAAGCGCUCGCAGGUGGUUCGUUGCGUCGUGCGUGAAAGACCCCGGCUCAACUGGGGGGUGUCGUGCGAUACGGGCGGACUGGAGGCCAGUAGGGGGAUGCGGAAUUCCGGGUGUAGUGGUGGAAUGCGUAGAGAUCCGGAGGAACACCAGCGGCGAAGGCGGCAUCCUGGACUGGUCCUGACACUCAUGAGCGAAAGCGUGGGGAGCGAGUCCGG